UACAGAGGAUGCAAGCGUUAUCCGGAAUGAUUGGGCGUAAAGCGUCUGUAGGUGGCUUUUUAAGUCCGCCGUCAAAUCCCAGGGCUCAACUCUGGACAGGCGGUGGAAACUACCAAGCUGGAGUACGGUAGGGGCAGAGGGAAUUUCCGGUGGAGCGGUGAAAUGCGUAGAGAUCGGAAAGAACAUCAGUGGCGAAGGCGGUCUGCUGGGCCGUUGCUGACGCUGAGGCGCGACAGCGUGGGGAGCAAACAGG
rnacentral:rRNA from 1 species